rnacentral:rRNA from 1 species
GGAUGCGAUCACACGAGCACUAAAGCACCGGAUCCCAUCAGAACUCCGAAGUUAAGCGUGCUUGGGCGAGAGUAGUACUAGGAUGGGUGACCUCCUGGGAAGUCCUCGUGUUGCAUUCC